UACGUAGGGUGCGAGCGUUAAUCGGAAUUACUGGGCGUAAAGCGUGCGCAGGCGGUUCGCUAAGACCGAUGUGAAAUCCCCGGGCUUAACCUGGGAACUGCAUUGGUGACUGGCGGGCUAGAGUAUGGCAGAGGGGGGUAGAAUUCCACGUGUAGCAGUGAAAUGCGUAGAGAUGUGGAGGAAUACCAAUGGCGAAGGCAGCCCCCUGGGUUAACACUGACGCUCAUGCACGAAAGCGUGGGGAGCAAACAGG
rnacentral:rRNA from 1 species